rnacentral:rRNA from 1 species
GAUGAACGCUGGCGGCGUGCCUAAUACAUGCAAGUCGAGCGAAUGGAUUAAGAGCUUGCUCUUAUGAAGUUAGCGGCGGACGGGUGAGUAACACGUGGGUAACCUGCCCAUAAGACUGGGAUAACUCCGGGAAACCGGGGCUAAUACCGGAUAACAUUUUGAACCGCAUGGUUCGAAAUUGAAAGGCGGCUUCGGCUGUCACUUAUGGAUGGACCCGCGUCGCAUUAGCUAGUUGGUGAGGUAACGGCUCACCAAGGCAACGAUGCGUAGCCGACCUGAGAGGGUGCUGGGCCACACUGGGACUGAGACACGGCCCAGACUACUACGGGAGGCAGCAGUAGGGAAUCUUCCGCAAUGGACGAAAGUCUGACGGAGCAACGCCGCGUGAGUGAUGAAGGCUUUCGGGUCGUAAAACUCUGUUGUUAGGGAAGAACAAGUGCUAGUUGAAUAAGCUGGCACCUUGACGGUACCUAACCAGAAAGCCACGGCUAACUACGUGCCAGCCGCCGCCGUAA